rnacentral:tRNA from 1 species
UCAGAGGUUCAACUCCUCUCCCUAACA